GGAUUCCCCUAGUAACUGCGAGUGAAGCGGGAAAAGCUCAAAUUUAAAAUCUGACAGUCUCUGGCUGUCCGAGUUGUAAUCUAGAGAAGUAAUGCCCGUGCUGGACCGUGUAUAAGUCUCCUGGGAUGGGGCGUCAUAGAGGGUGAGAAUCCCGUCUUUGACACGGACUACCAGUGCAUUGUGGUAUGCUCUCAAAGAGUCGAGUUGUUUGGGAAUGCAGCUCAAAAUGGGUGGUAAAUUCCAUCUAAAGCUAAAUAUUGGCGAGAGACCGAUAGCGAACAAGUACCGUGAGGGAAAGAUGAAAAGAACUUUGGAAAGAGAGUUAAACAGUACGUGAAAUUGCUGAAAGGGAAACGCUUGAAGUCAGUCGCGUUGGCCGGGAAUCAGCCUUGCUAUUGCACGGUGUACUUUCUGGUUGACGGGUCAGCAUCAAUUUUGACCGCUGGAAAAAGGCCUGGGGAAUGUGGCAGCUUCGGCUGUGUUAUAGCCCCUAGUCGCAUACAGUGGUUGGGAUUGAGGAACUCAGCACGCCGCAAGGCCGGGUUUCGACCACGUUCGUGCUUAGGAUGCUGGCAUAAUGGCUUUAAGCGACCCGUCUUGAAACACGGACCAAGGAGUCUAACAUGCCUGCGAGUAUUUGGGUGGAAAACCCAAGUGCGCAAUGAAAGUGAAAGUUGAGAUCCCUGUCGUGGGGGAGCAUCGACGCCCGGACCAGAACUUUUGGGACGGAUCCGCGGUGGAGCAUGUAUGUUGGGACCCGAAAGAUGGUGAACUAUGCCUGAAUAGGGUGAAGCCAGAGGAAACUCUGGUGGAGGCUCGUAGCGAUUCUGACGUGCAAAUCGAUCGUCAAAUUUGGGUAUAGGGGCGAAAGGACUAAUCGA
rnacentral:rRNA from 1 species